GAUAAAGCAGUGAUGGAGAGAAAAAAUAUCUAUCUUUCUUCAGAGAGCUGGCGGAUGGUGUGAGUCAGUGAAAGCAGAUAUAGAAUAACUCGCUCCAGAGUGAAUGUUUGAAGGAUAUGGAUCUGCGUAGGACAUUCCGGUGGUAUAUGCCAUCGUUAACAAUGACAAGAUUACGGCAUGCCGUAAAUUAGGGUGGUACCGCGAACAGAACUCCUUUUCGCCCCUAGC
rnacentral:ncRNA from 1 species